CAACACGUUCUUGAAUUUAAAUAGAAAGUCUUAUAUUUAUUGCAUAGUCAAGUGCAAGAGUGAAUAAGAUCUUCAAAACAGUAGAAAACUUUGGUUUACAUAUCUUGAAGACCAUCAGCGAGAACGAAAGUAUCACUUUUAACACAACAAGGAAUAUAGAUUUUACAGUCGCAAAACUUCCACCAGACCAAACUCUGAUUUUCCCAGAAGGCAACAGUAUUAUAGGUUCAUCGUUUGUGUUUUCAGCACAGGCUCAUGGUUCUAUUCAAACAAAAGGCAUACCUUACCUUGCGGUGAAAUAUAAAACACUUGGAAACUUAAUGAACACCGACAACAGCAAUAAAGAAAAUUCGGGAUUCAGCAUUUCGUCUGAUAUUAUGUCUUUAACACUAGGUGAUUCUCCAUUUAAAGAGACAGUAGACCUUCUGCUGCAUUUGAAAUUCUUGAAGCCGACAGAUUUCCAGAAUUCCUUCAGUGAAUGCGUAUUUUGGAAUUUUCAAGUCACUAACAGAGAUGGUGGGUGGUCAACAAGAGGGUGUGAAUUACUAUCUACAGAUGAUCUUUAUCUUCACUGUGAAUGCAACCAUCUGACAAAUUUUGCAGUACUGAUGCGACCAUAUUCA